rnacentral:rRNA from 1 species
AGCGAACGCUGGCGGCAGGCCUAACACAUGCAAGUCGAACGAAGUCUUCGGACUUAGUGGCGGACGGGUGAGUAACAAGUGGGAACGUACCUUUUGGUUCGGAACAACUCAGGGAAACUUGAGCUAAUACCGGAUGAGCCCUUAGGGGGAAAGAUUUAUCGCCGAAAGAGCGGCCCGCGUUAGAUUAGCUAGUUGGUGGGGUAAAGGCUCACCAAGGCUACGAUCUAUAGCUGGUCUGAGAGGGUGAUCAGCCACACUGGGACUGAGACACGGCCCAGACUCCUACGGGAGGCAGCAGUGGGGAAUCUUGCGCAAUGGGCGAAAGCCUGAGGCAGCCAUGCCGCGUGAAUGAUGAAGGUCUUAGGUUUGUAAAAUUCUUUUACCAGGGACGAUAAUGACGGUACCUGGAGAAAAAGCCCCGGCUAACUUCGUGCCAGCCGCCGCCGUAACAC